rnacentral:lncRNA from 1 species
GACAGUUAAUUGGACACUCCAGUAUCAUAUUAUAUACUUCCUACACAUCCACUUCCGUCAGUACAGAACUCUCUCAUGUUUUCCCUUCCAGAGCCUUAAAUUUUGUGAGAUUCCUUGAAGAAUUGUGAAAAUUCCAUUUUAUAUGGCUGAGUGCUCAUAUCCAGCAUAAGCAAUGGAAAUGCUCCAGUUCAAAUCCAAUGAAUAUUAGGGAAGGAACUACAGUUGACUUGAAGAAGCAUCUGCUUAAUGUCUGGUCAAAGCUUACCAGUGAUACAGAAAUCUAUGGUUAA